UACGUAGGGUGCAAGCGUUGUCCGGAAUUAUUGGGCGUAAAGAGCUCGUAGGCGGUCUGUCGCGUCUGCUGUGAAAACUCAGGGCUUAACCCUGAGCUUGCAGUGGGUACGGGCAGACUAGAGUGCGGUAGGGGAGACUGGAAUUCCUGGUGUAGCGGUGAAAUGCGUAGAUAUCUGGAGGAAUACCGGUGGCGAAGGCGGCAUCCUGGACCGGCAUUGACGCUGAGGAGCGAAAGCCAGGGGAGCAAACGGG
rnacentral:rRNA from 1 species